UUGGUAAACUAGCUUUGGACUAUUUAUCAUACGAAUGCUUAAAUAAGUUGGUUUUUGCCCCUUCUAUAAGUUCCUGCUAUUGGUAAAUUGCUUUUGUGAUUGAUUCAAUUUUUAAGACAUUCUAAGCCGUUUGUGUGGAUGUUAGCAUAGAAUUCACAAACUCCAAGACCGAAACAUGAACUACAACCUAGAGAGAAUUAACCAGUUUACAUGUAUAAAAGACUAGGAAGAAAAGCAUACCUGCAGCAGUUCCAGAACUCGAAGCCGCACUACAAGAAAAAUGAGCUUUGGGUACAAAACAAAGGGCACAAUUGAGAAGGUUGUGUCAGUUUGACCACCAAAAAGCUUAAACAGUUCCUAUUCCAUAGAGGGCACCAUCUAUUGUGCCCAAUGUUAAAAAAAGCAGACACAAAACAGUAAUGGGCACGGAAACCGUGCCCAGUGGGGUCAUAUGACAACUUUUUUUUAUUGAAGAUGGGCACAAAAAACAUUUUGUGUCUAUAAAAUUAUUUGUCAGAGGCACUAUAUGUUCUAUCUCGUUUGUCUUUACCUCCUCUAGCACACCAAUAAUUAAAAUUUAUAAAAUUGUGGUAAAUAAUGGUAUGGAGUUAUUUAUUACUGUACAAUAUUUUAGCCUCAAAAUAAGUUAGAAAUAAUGUUGUUCAAAUUCAUUUUUCGCGAAAGCUGAACCUCAUAUCUCACAUUUACAAGUAAAGAAGAAUACCACUAAUCGUAGUACUAAGUGGCGUGUUUUAGAUUAACAAAGGAUCAUUUCUAGCUGCAAUGAAUGAUUGUUAGAUUCAUAUCUUUUUGAACUGCUUUUUAGAUUGUUAUCUUUCUGCAGGUUUGUUUUUUUUUAUACUUGGUGAUAUGGUUUUUGGUUUUAUAGUAAGUGUUCAUUUUUUUUACUGUAUUAAAAGUCCUUGAUGCAGUGACACAUAACCAACAAUUGUGCCCUUAGGGUCGGUAGACAAAUGAGUUAAUAAUUGUAGAUUCCUUUUUAUGACACUAAUGAUAGAAAUUGUGUCCACUAAAUAUUAAUAAAUAAUAAAUCACUCUACUUCUCAUUGGGCCUUCGAAUAGAUAAUAUAUCUUAAUAAUUAUAAAUUCCUUUUUCUGACACAAAGGUUAGAAAUUGUGUCCAACAAAAAUUAAUAAAUAAUAAAUCACUCUAUAGCAAGUGGAAUAUGUUGGCACAAUUAUGGAUUUGUGCCUAUAUUCUAGUAUAAAACAUCCACACUCCCUUACUAAUUUGUAUAUGGAAAAUAAGAAGGUUGCUUCAUACACUUGUGUUUCUUUUGAAUUUGAUCAAGUUCUACAUCAUUGAGAAUGGCGGACAGGCGACGUCGCGGAGUUAGAAUUGGAACCGAAUCUCCAACAUCACAUUCGUCUAUUGCUUCCAACAUUACAACAACAAAUUCCACAACGAAUCCUCCAGCUCAACGUCCACGACAACCUGUUAAUGGCGGGCGCAUACCUCGUUCUAUUGAUAAUCAGUACAUUCUUACUACUGUUGCUGAUGGUCGGCUUGGCUACACAUUACCCUCCAAUAACGGCUACGUACGCGCACCUCAGGGACAUGUAUUGCCAGCAUGGGCAAACCCAGGUAGGAUAGAACAAUACCCUGUCGAUUUGGUUUCUGAUGAAACAACAAUUGAAGAGUCUACCAGUUCUGUCGUUAUUAUUGAAGAACCAUGCACUUAUCAAGCACAAAUUCGUCCUAGAGGCCUGUUUUUCCCACAGACGAGCUCACAAAAUAUGCAGAAUGUUACCGUUGAAAUUUUAAGCAGCGACGACGAGGAAAAUUAAUAUAUUUUGUAUUAUGUUAUAUUUCACUGGUAUGUGAAAAUAUAAUUAUCUUAUGCUAUGCUGGACUGCUCUUGGGUCCUUUUAUCAACUUAUGUAGUAUUAAAUAUAAUAAUGUUUUCUUUCUAAUUGGCCCAUGAUAUAAAUACUCCUAGCAUUGUAUAUUUUUUUGUUUAUAAUUAUGUUUCCCGUUUGGUUCGUACCGCACAAAUCAGUGAAUUCACAACAUGUCAACGCAAGCAUUAUGACACUUUACCAGUAAAAGAAAAGAAAAAAGAAAAUAAAUAAAAAUGAAAGAACAAAUGAAGCCUGACACCAAAAUAAAAAACUUGGGUUUCUAGCACUGCAUUACACAAUUGUGCCCACUAACCCUUAUAAUAUUAAUUAAAAAAUAAUUAUUAUAAUAAUAAUUGUGCCCACUACUUACAAUAAUAAUUAAAAUUCUACCCUAUUUCUAUUCACUCCCUUCCAUCUCUCAGACUCUCAGUCCGUCGACUCUCACCCUCACUCUCCAAAAAUUCAUACGCCGCUCCUCCUCGCUCCUCCGUCCAGUUCGAACCCACUCCUCCGUCGAGUCCGUCCACUUCAACGCCGCUCAUCUGUCCAUUCAAAGGCAUUCCUCCGGCGACACACACAAAGACACAGGAGGCCCAAAAUACAGGUGAGGUUUCUUAAAUUCAAUUUUUCGAUGGGUUUUUGUUCUUUAGGGUUUAGGGUCAAAUUGGAUGUGUAUUUUGUCGAAUAUGGUUUAUGGUUUGAGGACAGUGGGUAUAGGAUUAGGAAUCUAGGAUGGGUGCAGGUCUUUGGGAUUGGAAGGGUUUCAAGUUGAGUGUGCUCCGAUUUAGGGUGGGUGCAGGACAUGGAGGUCAUUGGGAAAGUGGGUGGGUGGGUAACGGUUCAUAGGUUUAGGUUUAGGGUGGGUGGGUGCAACGGCUGCAGCUGUUUUGCUUGGUAUGAAAUUGACAAUUAGAACUAGAGUUGAUUAUGUUUAUGUUUAUGAAAUUGUAGAAUCUGGUGCAACAACUGCAGGAUUUGCUUGCUGUAUGUUAUGUAGAAUCUGGUGCAACAGCUGCAGGAUUUGCAGGGCCAGGCUUAGCAGAAGUUUUACUCGGUAACUUUGUUGCUACCUCCUUAUAUCCCUUUUUUCUUUCUUCCAGAGCCUGGUUGCAUAUCUGUACUCUCUGUAUAACGAACCCUGAUUAUUAUUUACUCCUUUCUUGUUAUCAUCCUUUAGGAGAUCUCUUAUGUUUUUGUAAGGUUGUUAUCAUCCUUAUGAUUAUGUCUUUCACAUUCCAGGGGUGGGUAUGUACUUUAAGAUAUUAUUAAGACAUUAUUAAGACAUCAUUGAAGUUUUCACAUUCCAGGGGUGGGUAUGUACUUUAAGAUAUUGUCAAGAGAUGUUUACCAAUUGCCAGUGCCACACUUAUGUUCAAGUGAAAAAGAAUAUGUACUUCGUAAAGUGUAUUGAAGUACGUUGGUUUCGCUGCUUGGAAUAAUAAUUCAUUGCAUUAGAGUUUAUACGCUUUAGUAUCCUGUUCUCUUUUCUUCUUUUCUUAAUUCUGCACUUUUUGAAACAGUACAAGGGAAAGGAUACCAGCUUGCAAAUUGCAAUUGAUAUUAUAUGGUUCAUAGAAUUGUAAUCUUACACAUUUACUGGGGCUUUUAUGAAUAUUUACCAUCUACAUAUCACUUUUAUACUCAUUUAUAAUCAUUCGAGGGAGCGAGCUGGUGAAAAGUUAUAGGAUUCUUUAAUAAACAAUUAUGUUAAUUUUUUUGUUCCAUUUAAUUUACAUGUAAAGGUUCUUCUUUUGGGGUCCAAUAAUGAUUCAGGUUUUUUUAUUGUAAGUUUGGAUUUAUAUUACUUCGUUAUCAUAAUUGUUGUGUAUUUAUAUGUUUCAUUCUUUUAACAAUCUCAGUUUCUUUAUCGCAACAUCAAAGAAGCUGAAUACGUUUAUUCGACUUAACCUUUCAGGAGGUGGGUUAAACUCUCUCUCUCUCUCUCUCUCUCUCUCUCUCUCUCUCUCUCUCUCUCUCUCUCUCUCUCUAUAUAUAUAUAUAUAUAUAUAUAUAUAUAUAUAUAUAUACAUGAGUCAUAGCUACCUAUCACUGUCUCCUUUGAACAAGUUUUAUGCUUCUGCAGGAGCUGCUGCUCUAUUUGGACUAUGGAGCUUGUCUAGGUCCUUAAAUUCAUGUGUUAGCCAUUUUCUUUCUCAGGAUGGAAGUCGUAUGCAGGCGGAGUUAGCAACUAUGUAUGUCACCAUUUUUUUUAGGAUGUUUGAUUAUUCACUUUUGUGCAAUUGGCUAGAAACACUGGUUUUCUUCUGGUAUGCAUGAACAGUCAUGUUAGCUGUCUUGGUGUGGAUCUUUAGCCAUCUUGGUGUGGAUCGAUUCUUCAUGAGUUGUAAUUAGGAGUUGAAAAUUUUGAGUUCAUUGUCCUUCUUACAAUUAUGGAAUUGAAGUCCUUCUGAUAUUAUUCAUUCACAAAAACUUCGUUUUCGGGAUAUGACUAAUGUCUGCCCUUCCAUCACAUCUCUGCCAACCCGUUGCUUACUUGGUUUUGUAUGUAAUUAUCUGAGUAUAUAUGGGACAUUACUGUACAUGUAUUUAUCCGGAAAAGAAAUGCAUUGUAGUAUAUGACCAAUAUCUGCUUGUUUUAUGUUUAUAAACUAUUUGAUAUCUGAGAAUAUUGGUUAGUUGUCAUCAAGCAACCCUUGUAGAUGUGUAUUUUGUUUAUAUAUUAUUGGUUUGAAUUGGUAUACAAGCUUAGAUAUGUUAUCUUUUGUUGUAUACAGAGAAUCCUGGGUAUGUCCAGCAUAGGAUAACAUGUAUUUUUUUGUUUAACAUUUGGAUGGGUUGUAUUGUUAGGUUACAUGAAUCAGUCUUAGCCAAGAACAUGGGUGAUAAUAUAUUAACUUCACUAUUUUAGUGCUAAUGUUAAUGAAUCUAAUGUUGAUUUAUGUUUAGUUUGUAAUGGAUGAUUUGUAAGUUCCUCAAAUUUGGUGGAAAUUAGGUCAUGUGAGCAAGCCUGAUGAUUUCUAUAUUUAAAUAAAAAUAUCCAAUUUUACCCCAAAAAAAAAAAAUUAAAAUAUCCAAUUUUACCAAUUUUUUUUAUUUAUAAAUAUCCAAUUGUGCUGGAGCGUUAUUGUAUUUAUUCAAAUAUAAUAGAGUGGCACAAUUUUAAAGUUGUGGUGCCUUUGCUUUCACAUUUAUACAUCAAUCUUAGCCUUUAAAAUAGCAAUUGUGCCCAUCUUACACCAUACAUUCAAUAGCCUUUAUUAGAGGUGAGACACAAAAAUGCUUGUAUUUGUGCUUAGCCUUUGGGCACAAAUCAUCAUAUUGUGCGCUUUCUGAAAUGGUGACGCCCAUAGAGGGCACAGACCCAGAGAUAGUAGCUGCGUUGUUGCUAUUGGUCUAUGGGCACAAUUGUUGGUGCUUUUUGACCUCAAAAGGCACAGAUAAUUUAUUGUGCGCAGUGCUCAUUUUUUUUGUAGUGCCGUAGCAGCAAGCUUUAGUGAACCUUCUCUUCUCUCGCAGUUUAUCAAGUACUCAACUUACAAAUAGGAUUAAGUCCAAUAUGCACAUGUGUUCUGUGAGAAGAGAGACCAAUAUAUAUACAUAUAAUCUUUACCAUAACAGAUUCAUUAGGAUUCCCUAUCAAAAUCCAUAUAGGAAACAAAUACUUGUUUCCUUGUUCUAAUCUCAAUGCUAUACAAAAUCCCUCUUUGACAAGGAUUAGUAUUCCUUUUAUCAACAAGACUUUUCUAUCAAAUUGAACACCUAUAACCGGUCCUAAAACUUCUUUAUCUCAUACUCAUGUUCUUCCAAGCAAAUGGUUUGGGCUCGAAUGAAUGAAUCUGUUCACCAAAAAACAAAAAUACAUAGAAGUCAAAUUCCUUUUGUUUUUGUUCUUUUUGGUGGGUGGCUUUUGCUUUAUUUCUUU
rnacentral:lncRNA from 1 species